rnacentral:lncRNA from 1 species
ACCCUGCCAGCCUCCCUGCUGCAGCCGGCAGCACGUCACUCCAUGCGGGAGGGGAGCCCCACCUAAGGUUCUUGGCCAUAAAAUAUGGCUUUUGGAAAAAUAAAGCUGAGACUUGGAGUUCACGGUGGGGGCUCCCCCAUCUGUGAACAGAAGCAGAAGUUUGGAACUGCCUUCUUUACUGCUCGAGAGGGAAAACUUGAGUGAAAACCAGGAUGCUGGCGAAUGUUGAGUAGCUAAGCUGCACAGGAAAUACCACUUGAUGACCUGCGAUCUGGGGAAGCCGCGCCAGGGCUCUGCGAAGCUGCGGACGAGGGAGGCGUCAGUGUGGGGGCUGCAGCUCAGCUCCGGGGGGGACGCGCCUUUCUCCACGGGACCUGGGGCUCAGGUGCUCACGAGGCUGGGGCGCUGCAGGCCACCCGCAGGGGAAACUGAGGCCCUCCAUUUUGUGGGGCUGGAAGACCUUUCCUUCCAAAAGCAGGUGUAGGCGGGAGCACCUGUGCAGUCCCUCUGUUCAGAUCCUCACCCACUUUUAAAUCAGGAAACAGCAGAUGAAAUGCACAGUGUGAAGGACAAGGAUUCUGCUGAGAGAAUUGCUCCGAGGGUUGCUCAAGUGAUCAUGGGAAAUAAUGCAUCAAACCAUUCUUUAGAUGCAGCUCAGGUGUGCCUUUUCUUCGCCUGUGCCCAUCCACCUGAGAUGGACCAUAACCAUAAAAGUCAGAAGGCACUGACCCUUCAGGACGUGACAGGGUUAAAAGAUGCUGGAGGGAAAGUCUGUCAUUGACUUUUAUUCACUUCCUUUCUCCAUUCUGCCAUUUGGAAGAAGAUGGAGUAUCACUCUGUCA